rnacentral:misc_RNA from 1 species
UCCACCCUCAAGCCCCUACGGGUUUGGUGUUGGGGCUUCUACGGCGGGGUUCGCCCCCCGUAGGCCCUCAAAGUCAGUGGCGGGCUCGCUAGCACUCCGGGCGUAGUAGCUUUUUACACGUCGCCUAGGGGGUCUGGCGGGCGACCGGCCGUGAAACAAGCGACUGCUGUCGCACAUUUUCUCAA